rnacentral:rRNA from 1 species
GACGAACGCUGGCGGCGUGCAUAACACAUGCAAGUCAAGGGGGCCCGCAAGGGCAACCGGCGAACGGGUGCGUAACACGUAAGCGACCUACCUCGAUGUGGGGCAUAGCCGGCCUAACGGCCGGGUAAUUCCGCAUACGCUCUUGGAGGGGCAUAUCUCCGAGAUGAAACCAGCAAUGGGCAUUGAGAGGGGCUUGCGGCCUAUCAGCUAGUUGGUGAGGUAACGGCUCACCAAGGCUACGACGGGUAGCUGGUCUGAGAGGAUGGCCAGCCACAUUGGGACUGAGAAACGGCCCAGACUCCUACGGGAGGCAGCAGUGGGGAAUUUUGGACAAUGGGGGCAACCCUGAUCCAGCAAUGCCGCGUGUGUGAAGAAGGCC